rnacentral:rRNA from 1 species
UACGUAGGGGGCAAGCGUUGUCCGGAUUUAUUGGGCGUAAAGAGCUCGUAGGCGGCUUGUCGCGUCGUUCGUGAAAACCCGGGGCUCAACUCCGGGCUUGCGGGCGAUACGGGCAGGCUAGAGUUCGGUAGGGGAGACUGGAAUUCCUGGUGUAGCGGUGAAAUGCGCAGAUAUCGGGAGGAACACCGGUGGCGAAGGCGGCGAUCUGGGUCGAUACUGACGCUGAGGUGCGAAAGCGUGGGGAGCAAACAGG